rnacentral:rRNA from 1 species
UACGUAGGGGGCAAGCGUUGUCCGGAAUCAUUGGGCGUAAAGAGCGUGUAGGCGGUCCGGUAAGUCGGCUGUGAAAGUCCAGGGCUCAACCCUGGGAUGCCGGUCGAUACUGCCGGACUAGAGUUCGGAAGAGGCGAGUGGAAUUCCCGGUGUAGCGGUGAAAUGCGCAGAUAUCGGGAGGAACACCAAUGGCGAAGGCGGCUCACUGGCCCGGUACUGACGCUGAGGUGCGAAAGCGUGGGGGGCAAACAGG